GAUGAACGCUAGCUACAGGCUUAACACAUGCAAGUCGAGGGGCAGCGGUAUCGAAAGCUUGCUUUCGGUAGCCGGCGACCGGCGCACGGGUGAGUAACGCGUAUCGAACCUGCCUCAUACUCGGGAAUAGCCUUGCGAAAGUAAGAUUAAUGCCCGGUGUUUUCAGAGUCCCGCAUGAGGCUUUGAACAAAGAUUCAUCGGUAUGCGAUGGCGCUGCGUCCCAUUAGGUGGUUGGCGGGGUAACGGCCAACCAAGGCAUCGAUGGGUAGGGGUUCUGAGAGGAAGGUCCCCCACAUUGGAACUGAGACACGGUCCAAACUCCUACGGGAGGCAGCAGUGAGGAAUAUUGGUCAAUGGGCGGAAGCCUGAACCAGCCAAGUAGCGUGCAGGAAGACGGCCCUCCGGGUUGUAAACUGCUUUUAGUUGGGAAUAAAACGGGGCUCGUGAGCCCCCUUGCAUGUACCAUCAGAAAAAGGACCGGCUAAUUCCGUGCCAGCAGCCGCGGUAA
rnacentral:rRNA from 1 species